UACGGGGGGGACAAGCGUUGUUCGGAAUUACUGGGCGUAAAGGGCUCGUAGGCGGCCAACUAAGUCCGACGUGAAAUCCCCAGGCUUAACCUGGGAACUGCGUCGGAUACUGGAUGGCUUGAAUUCGGGAGAGGGAUGCAGAAUUCCAGGUGUAGCGGUGAAAUGCGUAGAUAUCUGGAGGAAUACCGGUGGCGAAGGCGGCAUCCUGGACCGACAUUGACGCUGAUGAGCGAAAGCUAGGGGAGCAAACGGG
rnacentral:rRNA from 1 species